rnacentral:rRNA from 1 species
AAUAAGGUAGCAAUAUCUUUAGUAAACCGGCGCACGGGUGAGUAACACGCAGGUAACCUGCCCUUUGGUUUGGGAUAACCCCGCGAAAGCGGGGCUAAUACCGGAUGAUGCAGCGGCUCCACAUGGAGAUGUUGUUAAACUCCGCAAGGAGGCCAAUGGAUGGGCCUGCGUCCCAUUAGAUAGUUGGUGAGGUAACGGCCCACCAAGUCUGCGAUGGGUAGCUGAUCUGAGAGGAUGAUCAGCCACACUGGAACUGAGACACGGUCCAGACUCCUACGGGAGGCAGCAGUGAGGAAUAUUGCGCAAUGGAGGAAACUCUGACGCAGCGACGCCGCGUGAAGGAUGAAGGCUCUUUGA